AGUAACGCGUGAGUGACCUGCCUUUCAGAGGGGGACAACAGUUGGAAACGACUGCUAAUACCGCAUAACGUAUCUAUAUCGCAUGGUAUGGAUACCAAAGAUUUAUCGCUGAGAGAUGGACUCGCGUCUGAUUAGCUAGUUGGUAGGGUAACGGCCUACCAAGGCGACGAUCAGUAGCCGGACUGAGAGGUUGGCCGGCCACAUUGGGACUGAGAUACGGCCCAGACUCCUACGGGAGGCAGCAG
rnacentral:rRNA from 1 species